GGGUGCUCUUCUUCUUGGAUCCGGCCACCCCGAUACGGGCCUCCACAUCAGCAUUCCUGAGCUUCAGGAUCCCCACACAGUCUACACUGUAGAGACACCCUACUAAGAAAAUUAUGGAUUUGGAACAAUAUGAGGGCUGUUGUGUUUCGGCCUGUAACUUUGCAGGCCUGGUAGAACCCAUGAGGCUUCACACGCCCAGCGUCAUUGCCAACAAAAAUCUGCAGUAUCACUUGCUCCUUCA